GUGCUCUCUUUGGCAGCACAGAUACUAAAUUGGAAUGAUCUAGAGAUGAUUAGCCUGGCCCCUGGCACAAAUGUACAAAUUUGUGAAGUGUUUCAUGUUUUU